rnacentral:rRNA from 1 species
AUUGAACGCUGGCGGCAGGCCUAACACAUGCAAGUCGAGCGAGCGGCGGACGGGUGAGUAAUGUCUGGGAAACUGCCUGAUGGAGGGGGAUAACUACUGGAAACGGGAGCUAAUACCGCAUACCAUCAGAUGUGCCCAGAUGGGAUUAGCUAGUGGGUGGGGUAACGUCUCACAUAGGCGACGAUGCCUAGCUUGUCUGAGAGGAUGACCAGCCACACUGGACCUGAGACCCGGUCCAGACUCCUACGGGAGUCAGCAGUGGGGAAUCUUGCACAAUGGGCGAAAGCCUGAUGCAGCCAUGCCGCGUGAGUGAAGAAGGCCGUCGGUUUGUAAAGCACUUUCAGCGGGGAGGCGUUACCCGCAGAGGAAGCACCGGCUAACUCCGUGCCAGCAGCCGCGGUAAUUC